rnacentral:rRNA from 1 species
CUUGGGUUCGAUUCCGGAGAGGGAGCCUUAAAAACGGCUACCACAUCUAAGGAAGGCAGCAGGCACGCAAAUUACCCAAUGACCGAAGGUCGAGGUAGUGACAAAAAAUAACGAUACGGGACUCAUCUGAGGCCCCGUAAUCGGAAUGAGUACACUUUAAAACCGUCCCCGAGGAUCUAUUGGAGGGCAAGUCUGGUGCCAGCAGCCGCGGUAAUUCCAGCUCCAAUAGCGUAUAUUAAAGUUGUUGUGGUUAAAAAGCUCGUAGUUGGAUCUCGGCGGUCUGAGGGCGGUUCGCUUGAUUGAGUGCUACUGCUCUAUAGGCCGUGGUUUUGCCAGAGGUCUCGGGGUGCUCUUAACCGAGUGUCCUGCGAUGCUGGCAGGUUUACUUUGAAAAAAUUAGAGUGCUCAAAGCAGGCUUUUACGCCUGAAUAUUCGUGCAUGGAAUAAUAGAAUAGGAAGUCGUUUCUAUUUUGUUGGUUUUCGGAAAUCGACUUAAUGAUUAAUAGGGACAGUCGGGGGCAUUUGUAUUCAAACGACAGAGGUGAAAUUCUUGGACCGUUUGAAGACAAACUACUGCGAAAGCAUUUGCCAAGAAUGUUUUCAUUAAUCAAGAACGAAAGUUAGAGGUUCGAAGGCGAUUAGAUACCGCCCUAGUUCUAACCAUAAACGAUGCCAGCUAGCGAUCUGCCGACGUUUUCUUUGUAGACUCGGCAGGAAGCUUCCGGGAAACCAAAGCAUUUGGGUUCCAGGGGAAGUAUGGUUGCAAAGCUGAAACUUAAAGGAAUUGACGGAAGGGCACCACCAGGAGUGGAGCCUGUGGCUUAAUNNG